rnacentral:rRNA from 1 species
CAGCAGCCGCGGUAAUACGUAGGUGGCAAGCGUUGUCCGGAAUUAUUGGGCGUAAAGGGCUCGCAGGCGGUUUCUUAAGUCUGAUGUGAAAGCCCCCGGCUCAACCGGGGAGGGUCAUUGGAAACUGGGAAACUUGAGUGCAGAAGAGGAGGGUGGAAUUCCACGUGUAGCGGUGAAAUGCGUAGAGAUGUGGAGGAACACCAGUGGCGAAGGCGACUCUCUGGUCUGUAACUGACGCUGAGGAGCGAAAGCGUGGGGAGCGAACAGGAUUAGAUACCCCCGUAGUCCCUGUCUCUUAUAU